CAGCACCUCAAGUGGUCAGGAUGAUUAUUGGGCCUAAAGCAUCCGUAGCCUGCUUUGUUAGGGUUCGGUUAAAUCCAUACGCUCAACGUAUGGGCUGCCGGGAAUACUGCAAAGCUAGGGAGUGGGAGAGGUAGACGGUACUCGGUAGGAAGGGGUAAAAUCCUUUGAUCUAUUGAUGACCACCUGUGGCGAAGGCGGUCUACCAGAACACGUCCGACGGUGAGGGAUGAAAGCUGGGGGAGCAAACCGGAUUAGAUACCCGAGUAGUCC
rnacentral:rRNA from 1 species